rnacentral:rRNA from 1 species
AUUGAACGCUGGCGGCAGGCCUAACACAUGCAAGUCGAGCGGAUGAAGGGUGCUUGCUCCUGGAUUCAGCGGCGGACGGGUGAGUAAUGCCUAGGAAUCUGCCUGGUAGUGGGGGAUAACGUCUGGAAACGGGCGCUAAUACCGCAUACGACCUGAGGGUGCAAGUGGGGGAGCUUCGGACAUUAUGCUAGCAGAUGAGUCUAGGUCGGAUUAGCUAGUUGGUGGGGUAAUAGCCUACCUAGGCGACGAUCGGUAAAUGGUCUGAGAGGAUGAUCAGUCACACGAGAAGUGGAACGGCGUCAAUGCGCCUACGGGAGGCAGCAGAGUGGUAUGUUAGACAGUGGGCGGGAGCAUGAUACAACCGUGGCAAGUGUGUUGAAGAAAUCUUCGGAUUGUGAAGAACGUUAUGUUGGGGGAAAGGGCAUUAGGUUGAUACGUAGCUGUAUUGACGUUAACAGCAAAAUAAGCACCGGCUAACUACGUG